rnacentral:rRNA from 1 species
AUCAACUUUCGAUGGUAGGAUAGAGGCCUACCAUGGUGGUAACGGGUAACGGGGUGUUAGGGCACGACACCGGAGAGGGAGCCUGAGAAACGGCUACCACAUCCAAGGAUGGCAGCAGGCGCGCAAAUUACCCAAUCCCGACACGGGGAGGUAGUGACAAUAAAUAACAAUACGGGGUUCUUUCGGAUUUCGUAAUUGGAAUGAGUACAAUUUAAAUCUCUUAACGAGGAACAAUUGGAGGGCAAGUCUGGUGCCAGCAGCCGCGGUAAUUCCAGCUCCAAUAGCGUAUAUUAAAGUUGCUGCAGUUAAAAAGCUCGUAGUUGAAUUUCGGGACCAAUAUGUCGGUCGUGCCUCGGUACGUACUGGCAUCGUUGGUUUCUCCCUUCUGAAGAACCAUGAUGUCAUUUAUUUGGUGUCGUGGGGAAUCAGGACUGUUACUUUGAAAAAAUUAGAGUGUUUAAAGCAGGCUCACGCUUGAAUACAUUAGCAUGGAAUAAUGAAAUAGGACGUUUGAUUCUAUUUUGUUGGUUUCUAGGAUCGACGUAAUGAUUAAUAGGGAUAGUUGGGGGCAUUAGUAUUCAAUUGUCAGAGGUGAAAUUCUUGGAUUUAUUGAAGACUAACUACUGCGAAAGCAUUUGCCAAGGAUGUUUUCAUUAAUCAAGAACGAAAGUUAGGGGAUCGAAGACGAUCAGAUACCGUCGUAGUCUUAACCAUAAACUAUGCCGACUAGGGAUCGGAUGAUGUUAAUUUUUUAAUGACUCAUUCGGCGCCUUACGGGAAACCAAAGUGUUUGGGUUC